GACGAACGCUGGCGGCGUGCUUAACACAUGCAAGUCGAACGCUGAAGCUCAGCUUUUGUUGGGUGGAUGAGUGGCGAACGGGUGAGUAACACGUGAGUAACCUGCCCCCUUCUUUGGGAUAACGCCCGGAAACGGGUGCUAAUACUGGAUAUUCACUGGUCCUCGCAUGGGGGUUGGUGGAAAGGGUUUUUCUGGUGGGGGAUGGGCUCGCGGCCUAUCAGCUUGUUGGUGGGGUGAUGGCCUACCAAGGCUUUGACGGGUAGCCGGCCUGAGAGGGUGACCGGUCACAUUGGGACUGAGAUACGGCCCAGACUCCUACGGGAGGCAGCAGUGGGGAAUAUUGCACAAUGGGCGCAAGCCUGAUGCAGCGACGCCGCGUGAGGGAUGGAGGCCUUCGGGUUGUGAACCUCUUUCGCUCAUGGUCAAGCCGCAACAAUGGUUGUGGUGAGGGUAGUGGGUAAAGAGGCGCCGGCUAACUACGUG
rnacentral:rRNA from 1 species